rnacentral:rRNA from 1 species
UACGUAGGGUGCAAGCGUUGUCCGGAAUUAUUGGGCGUAAAGAGCUCGUAGGCGGUUUGUCGCGUCUGCUGUGAAAACCCGAGGCUCAACCUCGGGCCUGCAGUGGGUACGGGCAGACUAGAGUCCGGUAGGGGCCCACGGAAUUCCUGGUGUAGCGGUGAAAUGCGCAGAUAUCAGGAGGAACACCGAUGGCGAAGGCAGUGGGCUGGGCCGGCACUGACGCUGAGGAGCGAAAGCGUGGGGAGCGAACAGG